CUGUUCCAUAGGAGCCGUGUGGGUUUGAACAGGGCUCUUCUCUGAGCCUCGGUUUUCUCAUCUGUAAAGCAAGCUUUAUAAGAACUCUUAUAAGGUCUGUAACUUCUUAUAAGGCUUGUAAAGCAGGCCUCGUAACUCGCAGGGUGAUCGGAGGAUCACAGGUGCGAUGUACGUGAAAGCACAGCACAAACGGUCCCUCUGCCUCCUUUCUCCAGGGGCCUAAGUCUGGGUCCCUCUGGCAUCUGGCAUGUCUGCUUUCUGAGAGUCAAGCUUCAAUCUUGCCUUUAGCAGAGCGGGUCUCUGGUAACAUUCUAACACCAUCCCAAAUGUAACAGUGUGAGAAAUUGAGGUAAGACCUCUGGCAGAACUUCCCAUAGGGAUUAGCAGGUAGACACAAAUUGUGAGUGAGAGAUGUAUAAGAAGAAUGGAGGAUGGGUAGAGUAAGGAGAUGGGAAGCUUUCAUUUCGGUGAUAAAGUUGGAUGAGGGGAAUGGAUGAGAUGACCCAACCCUUAUGGUCACCCCACUGGGUCCCCCUCUUCACACAUUUAAAGCCAACUGGGGAUAGAUGAAAGGGGCCAUCCUGAAAGGAAAAGAUAUCUGCUUGGGGGUCCUGACAGGAGUAAACGAGGCAACUAGAUUGUGGUAGGGACUGACUAUGUUUAAGGACAGGGUGUGAGAGAAAACACCCCUAUCAGUGGACAGAUACACGCCUUAAUUCCAUGGAAAAACAACCUGAUGGAGACAGAGGAGAUGUCUCUGAUACCUAGCCAAAAGAGUGAAGGCCAAGAGAUCACCAAA
rnacentral:lncRNA from 10 species